rnacentral:rRNA from 1 species
ACACGUAGGGGCCUGACGUUGUUCGGAAUCAUUGGGCGUAAAGGGCGCGCAGGCGGCCGUCCAAGUCCGGUGUUAAAUGGUCGGGCUCAACCCGAUCAUGCGCUGGAAACUGGGCGGCUGGAGUCCCGGAGGGGAUGCCGGAAUUCCAGGUGUAGGGGUGAAAUCUGUAGAUAUCUGGAAGAACACCGAUGGCGAAGGCAGGCAUCUGGCCGGAGACUGACGCUGAGGCGCGAAGGCGCGGGGAGCGAACAGGUUUAGAUACCCUGGUAGUCCGCGCAGUAAACGAUGAAUACUAGGUGUUGGGAGGAACUAUCCUUUCGGUGCCGCAGCAAACGCAAUAAGUAUUCCACCUGGGGAGUACGUUCGCAAGAAUGAAACUCAAAUGAAUUGGCGGGG